CGGCAAAAAAAAAACCCACGCAGUAGAAAAUUUUCUAAUAUUCCUAUUUUGAACUGUCAAUAUUUGCUCAAAAUUCACUAUUUGUCUUAUUUGGCUGUUUUGUCAUGCGGCUACAUUAUUUUACUUUUAUUGUUAAAAGCGUUAGCGUCCGCACGUGUUUAUUACAGAAUUUGCGGUAUUUUCUUUUGAAUAAGUUGUGAAAACAAGUAAAGUUGAACAUGGUGGGGUCAACAAAAAAGAAAUCAGAAAUCGUAGCUUUAUAUAAAAUAAAUUAUCCAAAGGUCAAAUAGCUCGUGAAAUGGGCAUAAGGGAUUAGAACGUGCGUAUUAUAAUUAAAAAUUAUACGUAUUUUAAUUGAUUAGCUCGAAAAAAGGGCAGUGGACGUCCGAAAACAGUAAAACCUCGUCAAGAACGACAAAUUAAACGGAUGUGCAUUAGUGAUCGCUUUAAAUAUGCUGGAACAAUCAAUGACACAUUUUAUGAAACCACUGGGGUAAAAUUAACUACAAGUUCUUUGCAAGAUGUGCUGAAUAAUCUUGGAGUCCGACCGCGACGUCUAGCAAAAAAGCCACUUCUCAACACGCGAAUGAAGAAACAGCGACUAGAGUGGGCAAAAUUACACAAAACUUGGACUACAUCAGAUUAGGGAAAUGUUAUUUUUUCUGAUGAAUCGAAAUUUAAUUUGUUGGAACCCGACGGAAAUGCCACAGUGCGUCGUAGGAAAGGGGAGCGUUUUUUCGAAAACUGUAUUUGGCCCACCGGAAAGCAUUCGCCUUAUUUAAUGGUGUUGGGAACUGUAACCAAGUUUGGUGUUCGGCCGCUAAUUAUUCUAAAAAGAUCUGUGAAUGCCGAAAUAUAAAUUGGAAUUUUGAGAGAAGGCGUUUUGCCAACUAUUGAACAGCUGUCCGAACACGCCCAAAAAAUUUAUUUUCAGGAUAUUUCAGCCCCUUGUCAUAGAGCCAAAGCGGUUUCAAAACAAAAAGAUUUUUGUGGAAUAAUGUCUCUCACGUGGCCAGGAAACAGUCCAGAUCUCAAUCCAAUUGAGAACUGCUGGCAUUAUUUGGGCAAAAUGAUGGGCAAAAUGAUAAGAGAAAAGCGUUCAAAAAGUCUAAAAGAAAUAGAAAACAUUAUUGAAGCUGUGCCAAAUGAAGAAAUCAAUAAAAAUUAUCUUCAACGGCUUUUUGAAUCGAUGCUUAAACAAAUAUCCGAGGUUAUUAGAAGGAGGGGGUGUUCUAACAAAUACUAAGAAUUUUUUUAUGCAAAAUUUGUUAUUUUGAUUCGUUAUGUAUUCUAAUGCUAAAUAAAAAUCAUAUAAAACAUAAAA